AACAAUGGUAAUUCAUCCUAAAAGUUGUCUUUUUUGGAGCUGGAGGUACCCUCCCAGCCAAACACCUCCAUCAGACAGUUCCAACUCCACCCAGAGCUGGCUCCACCUGAAGUUCUGAAGUGGAGUCCAGAGUUGGAGCCAUACCAAACAGGGUCUAUAAAGGGGAUAUAGGGGAGAAAAAACAGCUCCAAUAGAUUCCUUUCAUUCCCAUUUAUUUUUUCUCAAUCCUCUUCCUUCCCCUCCCUCUCCCCUUUAAAAGGGAAAUCCACCCAUCUCUUUCCUUCUUCCUUUCCUUCCCUUCCUCUCCAACCACACGAUUCGCAAAGCCACGCGCAUCCCUGGCCGCCCGAUCCGCCGCUCGCCCCUGCCCAGCCUGCCGCCGCCUACCUCGCCGUCCAUGAGCUUCGCCCACCUCGACAACCUCCCUCCACGCAGCGUCGGCCCGCGAGCACGACACCAC
rnacentral:lncRNA from 1 species